ACCCACCGCACAUCAAUCUCUCUGUAUCUCGCAGGAACCCUAGAGCUUCGCUCCUCCCUUACGGCCGCCACCACUCUCGAACCCACCCAACACGAACUCCUCUCCCUCGCCGUCGCCCACACCGCCGCCACCCACGCCGCCCGUUUUCCGUGAGCUCCAGCCGGACGCAGCACACCGGCGAGAUUCCCUUCGUCCGCGCCUCCCUUACCUCCGUGCAGAUCCACGACUCAGCUCACCUCAUCUUCUCUUCCUUCUCUGCAGGUUGUCAUGGGCGUGCCAGCAACGACGGCAGGAGGGGCACACCUCCGUGGGACGGGACGCCGCCAUGGAUAUGUAGUCCCUUUUCCCCCCACCAUGCAGCGGCCCCAUGGAGCCUCCUAGCACCCCAAACCCUAGCGGAGAGAGAGGAAGGGCAAGGAGAUGGGCGGUCAAAGCAGGACCCGGUCACCCACCCGUCUCGCAGACGGACCCAAGCAAGCAGGGAGCGACUGGAGCAAGCCCGGCCGUCUCGUCGACGCGGACCGGAGCUGGCCGGCGAAGGGUGACAGUACGGGGCCGCCCUGAAGAAUAAGAUGUUCUCUGCAUGUCGCCUGCCUGCGCAUCGCCACCCCCGUCGACUAGCUCCACCGCAUCGCCGCGUGCGCCCCGCAACCUUUGCCCCUGCCGGCGCUCCCUCCGGCAGCGAGGAGCUCGACCUCUUCAUGGAACUGGACAUUGUGAUUGUGAAGGCAACCAACCAUAGCGAGCAUCCAUCGAGGGAGAAGUACAUAAGAGGAGAAGGCUUCAUACUUUACCAAUGCUGAGAAGCUCAAGGUCGGGUACAUGACGCCUACAUCUGAAGUCUUUGGAACUUCACCGUUGCCACGAACUGCUAGUGUAAUUGAUUGAUGAUGGAUGGUUGUUGUUGUUGGUAGAAAUGAUAGAAAGCCUUUUAGGUAGCUGCUGUUGCUGGUAGAAAUGGUAGCUCUAGUCCCAUGUAGUGUAGUUCACGUGCUUGGGCUGCCCUACGUUGUUUCAUUUUUAUGUUAAAUAAGUCUGUCAAAUGUACCUAUUGUCGUGUCGUGGCUUAUUUGAAUUCCCUCUUUGUUUCA